UGCAAGUCGAGGGGCAGCAUUAAAUUUAUUUAUAAUAAAUUUUGAUGGCGACCGGCGUACGGGUGCGUAACACGUACGUAACCUACCUUUUGCUAGAAAAUAGCCUGAGGAAACUUAGAUUAAUGUUCUAUAGUAUAACAGAAUCGCAUGAUUCUGUUAUUAAAGUAGCAAUACGGCAAAAGAUGGGCGUGCGUCCGAUUAGUUAGUUGGUAAGGUAAAGGCUUACCAAGACAGUGAUCCGUAGGGGGCUGAGAGGGUGAUCCCCCACACUGGUACUGAGACACGGACCAGACUCCUACGGGAGGCAGCAGUGAGGAAUAUUGGUCAAUGGAGGAAACUCUGAGCCAGCCACGCCGCGUGCAGGAAGAAUGCCCUUACGGGUUGUAAACUGCUUUUGUUUUAGGAAAUAGAAAUUCUUACGUGAUACGGAUUGUGAAUGUACUAUACGAAUUAAGUGUCCGGCAAACUCCGUGGCCAGCCGCCGCGGGUAAUACGGAGGGAUACGAGCGUUUAUCCGGGAUUUAUUGGGUUUAAAGGGGGGCGUAGGCGGGUUAAUUAAGUCAGUGGUCAAAUAUUGCAGCUUA
rnacentral:rRNA from 1 species